rnacentral:rRNA from 1 species
GAUCAUGGCUCAGGAUGAACGCUAGCUACAGGCUUAACACAUGCAAGUCGAGGGGAAACGACAUCGGAAGCUUGCUUUUGAUGGGCGUCGACCGGCGCACGGGUGAGUAACGCGUAUCCAACCUGCCCACCACUUGGGAAUAACCUUGCGAAAGUAAGACUAAUACCCAAUGACGUCUCUAGAAGACAUCUGAAAGAGAUUAAAGAUUUAUCGGUGAUGGAUGGGGAUGCGUCUGAUUAGCUUGUUGGCGGGGUAACGGCCCACCAAGGCAACGAUCAGUAGGGGUUCUGAGAGGAAGGUCCCCCACAUUGGAACUGAGACACGGUCCAAACUCCUACGGGAGGCAGCAGUGAGGAAUAUUGGUCAAUGGACGAGAGUCUGAACCAGCCAAGUAGCGUGCAGGAUGACGGCCCUAUGGGUUGUAAACUGCUUUUAUAAGGGAAUAAAGUGGGAGUCGUGACUCCUUUUGCAUGUACCUUAUGAAUAAGGACCGGCUAAUUCCGUG